rnacentral:rRNA from 1 species
UUUGAUCCUGGCUCAGGACGAACGCUGGCGGCGUGCAUAAUACAUGCAAGUCGAGCGAACAGAAGGGAGCUUGCUCCCGGAUGUUAGCGGCGGACGGGUGAGUAACACGUGGGUAACCUGCCUGUAAGACUGGGAUAACUCCGGGAAACCGGAGCUAAUACCGGAUAGUUCCUUGAACCGCAUGGUUCAAGGAUGAAAGACGGUUUCGGCUGUCACUUACAGAUGGACCCGCGGCGCAUUAGCUAGUUGGUGGGGUAAUGGCUCACCAAGGCGACGAUGCGUACCCGACCUGAGAGGGUGAUCAGCCA